rnacentral:rRNA from 1 species
UACGUAGGGGGCAAGCGUUGUCCGGAAUCAUUGGGCGUAAGGCGCGCGUAGGCGGCCCGGUAAGUCCGUUGUGAAAGUCAAAGGCUCAACCUUUGAACGCCGAUGGAUACUGCCGGGCUAGAGUCCGGAAGAGGCGAGUGGAAUUCCUGGUGUAGCGGUGGAAUGCGCAGAUAUCAGGAGGAACACCAAUAGCGAAGGCAGCUCGCUGGGACGGUACUGACGCUGAGGCGCGAAAGCGUGGGGAGCAAACAGG